rnacentral:lncRNA from 1 species
GGUCUUCGGGUAAAGCGUUAUAAAUUGCGUUGCGGUAAUCAACGGUUCAGGCAAGUUUGUUCUUACUUAACUCUAAUAAGAGUGUUUUAUUCAAGCUUAUGGUUAAUCAUUGCUGAUUGCCAUGAAAAUUGUACUCUGUACAUCUUGCAUGUAUAAGUCAGGUAUGAAAGGCUGAUCACCUUCAUUACCAGUUGGUUCAGAAAUGUUUGUUCAUGUUUAAAACUUGUUCAGUCAAAAGUUUGUUCCUGCUAGUUCUCAAUUAUAUUGAUGAAUUAUAGCCAGCUUAUUAUUCAUACUCUUCAAUCAUGAUAUAUCCUUAUAUUGUUGUAUUUAAACUUGCUGGGCAACUUUCAUGCUCACCCUUGCUAUAUCAUGAUAAAACAUUGCAGAUAAGGCGAAUGCGUUCGGAUACAGGAAAAGAUAAUGCCAAGUUCAACUUGGGAUAAAUUGUGCGGCUAUUUUGUAAUAGUAUAGUUUGAUAAAUGUGAUAAAUGUUAGAUCAUUUAUGAUUGUGUAAUAAGUAAAGGUUACUCGACCUUGGGGAAUAGUGUGUAAUGUAAUGUAUAAACAAUUUAUGUUUAUAUCUUCCGCAAACAGUUAUA